rnacentral:rRNA from 1 species
GGUGCGUAGGCGGCCUUUUAAGUCAGUGGUGAAAUCCUGCCGCUUAACGGUAGAAUUGCCAUUGAUACUGAAGGGCUUGAGUUCAGUUGAGGUAAGCGGAAUGUGUAGUGUAGCGGUGAAAUGCUUAGAUAUUACACAGAACACCAAUUGCGAAGGCAGCUUACUAAACUGACACUGACGCUGAUGCACGAAAGCGUGGGGAGCGAACAGGAUUAGAUACCCUGGUAGUCCACGCCGUAAACGAUGUUCACUCGCUGUUUGCGAUACACAGCAAGCGGCCAAGCGAAAGCAUUAAGUGAACCACCUGGGGAGUACGAUCGCAAGGUUGAAACUCAAAGGAAUUGACGGGGGCCCGCACAAGCGGAGGAACAUGUGGUUUAAUUCGAUGAUACGCGAGGAACCUUACCUGGGCUUAAAUGUAGAACGACAGGCUGUGAAAGCAGCCCUUCUUCGGACGUUUUACAAGGUGCUGCAUGGUUGUCGUCAGCUCGUGCCGUGAGGUGUCGGGUUAAGUCCCAUAACGAGCGCAACCCUUAUCGUUAGUUGCCAGCGGGUCAUGCCGGGGACUCUAGCGAGACUGCCACCGUAAGGUGUGAGGAAGGUGGGGAUGACGUCAAAUC